AGAGGCAACAUUGAUAAAAGAAGAAUUGUUUCUGUCUUACACAAUUGAAGAUAAACGCUAGAUGCAGAUGGCAGCAAUUCAAGAAAAAAAUCACUUCUAGCAACGCUGAAAUAAACUGCCUUUUCAUAGCACUUUCAGAUGCUAUAUCUAAGACACACCAGGUGCUAAAGGAACCAUAGAUUGCUGCAACUAUGUGAGCAUGUUGGACAGACCUUCCAAUCAUUCAUUCCAGACAGUCACUCCUGUUAUACAGCAAGGAUCGCAACAGAAAGUGCCCAGACUGCUCAAACAAGUUAAGUCGCCAGGUGAAGCCACAUGUUCCAAGCUGUGGUUAACACAGCAGUCUACUAUGCCCCUCCUG